CAGUAGCCACGGGAAUACGAAGGGGGCUAGCGUUGUUCGGAAUUACUGGGCGUAAAGCGUGCGCAGGCGGUUUCUCAAGUCAGUGGUGAAAGCCCGGAGCUCAACUCCGGAACUGCCAUUGAAACUGUGAAGCUGGAGGACGAGAGAGGUGAGUGGAAUUCCCAGUGUAGAGGUGAAAUUCGUAGAUAUUGGGAAGAACACCGGUGGCGAAGGCGGCUCACUGGCUCGUUUCUGACGCUUAUGCACGACAGCGUGGGGAUCAAACAGGAUUAGAGACCCCCGUAGUCCCUGUCUCUUAUAU
rnacentral:rRNA from 1 species